UACGAGGGGGGCGAGCGUUGUUCGGAAUUAUUGGGCGUAAAGGGCGCGUAGGCGGUCGGAUAAGUCUUGUGUGAAAUCUUCGGGCUCAACUCGAAGUCUGCACAGGAAACUAUCUGGCUUGAGUGUGGGAGAGGUGAGUGGAAUUCCUGGUGUAGCGGUGAAAUGCGUAGAUAUCAGGAGGAACACCUGUGGCGAAGGCGGCCCGCUGGGCAGUGGCCGACGCUGAGGCGCGACAGCGUGGGGAGCAAACAGG
rnacentral:rRNA from 1 species